rnacentral:rRNA from 1 species
GACGAACGCUGGCGGCGUGCUUAACACAUGCAAGUCGAACGGUAAGGCCCUUCGGGGUACACGAGUGGCGAACGGGUGAGUAACACGUGGGUGAUCUGCCCUGCCCUUCGGGAUAAGCCUGGGAAACUGGGUCUAAUACCGGAAAGGCCCACUGCCUGCAUGGGUGGUGGUGGUAAGCUUUUGCGGUGUGGGAUGGGCCCGCGGCCUAUCAGCUUGUUGGUGGGGUGAUGGCCUACCAAGGCGACGACGGGUAGCCGGCCUGAGAGGGUGUCCGGCCACACUGGGACUGAGAUACGGCCCAGACUCCUACGGGAGGCAGCAGUGGGGAAUAUUGCACAAUGGGCGCAAGCCUGAUGCAGCGACGCCGCGUGAGGGAUGACGGCCUUCGGGUUGUAAACCUCUUUCAGCACCGACGAAGCGCAAGUGACGGUAGGUGCAGAAGAAGGACCGGCCAACUACGUGCCAGCCGCCGCAGUAAGAC